UACAGAGGUCUCAAGCGUUGUUCGGAUUCAUUGGGCGUAAAGGGUGUGUAGGUGGCGCGCUAAGUCGGGUGUGAAAUUUCGGAGCUUAACUCCGAAACUGCAUUCGAUACUGGCGUGCUUGAGGACUGGAGAGGAGACUGGAAUUUACGGUGUAGCAGUGAAAUGCGUAGAUAUCGUAAGGAACACCAGUGGCGAAAGCGGCUUCCUGGUCCAGCACCGACAUUCAGGCACGAAAGCGUGGGGAGCAAACAGG
rnacentral:rRNA from 1 species